CCUUCAGAGGGGGACAACAGUUGGAAACGACUGCUAAUACCGCAUACGAUCUAAUCUCGGCAUCGAGGAUAGAUGAAAGGUGGCCUCUACAUGUAAGCUAUCACUGAAGGAGGGGAUUGCGUCUGAUUAGCUAGUUGGAGGGGUAACGGCCCACCAAGGCGAUGAUCAGUAGCCGGUCUGAGAGGAUGAACGGCCACAUUGGGACUGAGACACGGCCCAGACUCCUACGGGAGGCAGCAUG
rnacentral:rRNA from 1 species